AUUGACUUGGCCCGGGACCCCCAAACGAGCCCGUUCCCCUCAAAGUCCCGGGACCCCCAAAAUGGGGAGAGCCGGGACCCCCGAUAUGGGGGGAACCCAAAGCCCCAGGACCCCUGGGACCCCUGAAAUGGGGAGGGCUGGGACCCCCAGGAGCCCAGACAUGGGGGGGGGGAGGACCCCUGGGACCCCCGAAUUGGGGAGAGCAACGACCCCCGGGACCCCCAAUAUGGGGGAGAACCAGAGCCCCAAGACCCCCGGGACCCCCAAAAUGGGGAGGUUUGGGACCCCCAUUAGCCCUGAUUUGGGGGGUAUAAGGACCCCUGGGACCCCCAAAAUGGGGAGAGCCAGGACCCCUGAUAUGGGGGGGAUCCAGAGCCCCACAACACCUGGGACCCCCGAAUUGGGGAGGGCUGGGACCCCCAGGAGCCCUGAUUUGGGGGGUAUGAGGACCCCUGGGACCCCUGAAUUGGGGAGAGCAACGACCCCCGGGACCCCCAAAAUGGGGAGAGCCAGGACCCCCGAUAUGGGGGGAACCCAAAGCCCCAGGACCCCCGGGACCCCCGAAAUGGGGAGGGCUGGGACCCCCAGGACCCCCGGGACCCCUGAAAUGGGGAGGGCAUGGACCCCCAAGAGCCCUGAUUUGGGGAGGGUGGGGACCCUUGGGACCCCCGAAUUGGGGAGGGCCAGAAGCUCUGAUGUGGGGGGAACCCAAAGCCCCAGGACCCCCGGGACCCCCGAAAUGGGGAGAGUUGGGACCCCCAGGAGCCCCGAUUUGGGGGGGACAAGGAGCCCUGGGACCCCUGGGACCCCUGAAAUGGGGAGAGUAAAGAACCCAGGGACCCCCAAAAUGGGGAGAGCCGGGACCCCCGAUAUGGGGGGGAACCAGAGCCCCAGGACCCCCGGGACCCCCGAGAUGGGGAGAGUUGGGACCCCCAGGAGCCCAGACAUGGGGGGGACAAGGACCCCUGGGACCCCCGGGACCCCCGAAAUGGGGAGAGCCAGGACCCCCGAUAUGGGGGGAACUCAAAGCCCCAGGACCCCUGGGACCCCCGAAUUGGGGAGGGCUGGGACCCCCAGGAUCCCAGACAUGGGGGGGACGAGGACCCCCGGGACCCCCGAAUUGGGGAGAGCAAAGACCCCCAGGACCCCUGGGACCCUUGAGCUGAGCCCCCGCGCUGGCACCCGGGGAUGGGGCCCCGCCCUCCCACUUCCGCCCUCGCCCCGCCCCUCGAACGCCAUUGGUCCGGCGGUUCGGCCCCGCCCCUCCCCCCUGCGCCCCCGAUUGGAUCCUUGGAGCUGCGUCACUUCCGGUGCUCGCCAGGCCCCGCCUCCUCCUGAACCUUCGGCUCCCUCACGUGACCCCUUCGCCGACCAAUGAACGACGGGGCAAGACGGAAGUCCCGCCUCCUGCACUGGACCAAAGCGGAAGUUCCGCUCUCAUCUAUAUCAGGGAAAAAACCGGAAGUUCCGCCCUCAAGGGGAGCGGGCCGUGUGCACUGAAGCCUUAACCCCGCCCCUAAAGUGGGCGUGGCCACAAACGAGCCAAUAAAAACACACCGCUCCUCCA
rnacentral:lncRNA from 1 species